CCUCAAGGUCUUCAGCUUUUAGAGCUUCAGAUCCCCGCUACAAGAUGGCGGCGGUGUUGACGCAUGCUGAGAAGCCGAAGGCGACAUCUAGUCAGUAUAUAUAU